rnacentral:lncRNA from 1 species
AUAAAUAUUAGGAUGGAAUAAUGCUGUCUGCAGAAUUCAUUGCUCCCUCUCUACUUUGGGGACCAUCAUCUCAUUUCAACAGACUAACUCAGAGGCAGAUAAUGUCUCUUCUGAGACAGUCAGUGACAUUAAGCAGAUGAUCAUCCAUGAUGAAUGAGUAUAUAGCAUGAUUUUAAAGAGGCGAUUCAUAUAUUUAUUACAUCAUUAAGAUUCCCUGGUUUGGCCUAUGUGAUCCCAUCUGAAGUAAGAGGGGUGGACUCAACACUUCUCAACCCUCCCAAUUCUGGAUACCAUGUCUUCACCUUCCUGUAUAUCAUCCCGUAUUCUUGUUCUGCUACAUUUUCUCCUAAGACAGUGUUCCUGUAACUUGACUUUUUAAAGUUGUCCUGUUAAAGUUUUAGAGAUUUUAAUUGAGGAAUUUUAAACUUCAGCUAAAAAAGGUUUCAAACCCACACUUCUUCAGACAAGAUUCCCCAUUACUGAUAAGAUGUUUUGGGGAAAUAAAAAAUAAAUAAAUAAAUUGCUUUGAUUGGACAAAAACAUCACAUCCUUUUGGAGAAAAGGAUGAUGUUUUAAAACAGGUAAAAAUACAUGGUAUCAUCUAGAAAAUGGUCCCAAACAUAAGCAGUAUUAAAUUGACAAAAGUCAUUCAAAUAGUUUACCACUAUAUCUAAACAUGGUCUAAUAUCUAGAUAACAUUCAGACUAUAUCUAAACGGAAUUGAUUUUUUACCUAGUCUGAAGCAGUUUUAGUAGAAACACAAUUGUUGGCAAAAUAUGAAGUCAUAUGACAGAAAAGGAAGAAUACAGCAAGAAUUAUAUGCUACUUUCUCUACUGCAAUAAAAACGAGUUAUGUUUCUCUUUAUGGAAAAGGACAAAAUAAGCAGCUUUUAUUUCUGAAGGUGAUUGAUUAUUUUCUGAGCUGGUCUGUGAAAUUUUGAUUGAUUGAAUAUUGUCUAAUCAUGAGUUUUUCCUUUCUUCAGUUUAGGUUUUUAAAUUUUUUG